UACGUAGGGUGCAAGCGUUGUCCGGAAUUAUUGGGCGUAAAGAGCUCGUAGGCGGUUCGUCGCGUCGGCUGUGAAAACCUGAGGCUCAACCUCAGGCCUGCAGUCGAUACGGGCGGACUUGAGUACUGCAGGGGAGACUGGAAUUCCUGGUGUAGCGGUGAAAUGCGCAGAUAUCAGGAGGAACACCGGUGGCGAAGGCGGGUCUCUGGGCCGUAACUGACGCUGAGGAGCGAAAGCGUGGGGAGCGAACAGG
rnacentral:rRNA from 1 species